GAUGAACGCUGGCGGCGUGCCUAAUACAUGCAAGUCGAGCGAACAGACGAGGAGCUUGCUCCUCUGACGUUAGCGGCGGACGGGUGAGUAACACGUGGAUAACCUACCUAUAAGACUGGGAUAACUUCGGGAAACCGGAGCUAAUACCGGAUAAUAUAUUGAACCGCAUGGUUCAAUAGUGAAAGACGGUUUUGCUGACACUUAUAGAUGGAUCCGCGCCGCAUUAGCUAGUUGGUAAGGUAACGGCUUACCAAGGCGACGAUGCGCAGCCGACCUGAGAGGGUGAUCGGCCACACUGGAACUGAGACACGGUCCAGACUCCUACGGGAGGCAGCAGUAGGGAAUCUUCCGCAAUGGGCGAAAGCCUGACGGAGCAACGCCGCGUGAGUGAUGAAGGUCUUCGGAUCGUAAAACUCUGUUAUUAGGGAAGAACAAAUGUGUAAGUAACUAUGCACGUCUUGACGGUACCUAAUCAGAAAGCCACGGCUAACUACGUG
rnacentral:rRNA from 1 species